AUUGAACGCUGGCGGAAUGCUUUACACAUGCAAGUCGAACGGUAGAGGGGGCAACCCCUUGAGAGUGGCGAACGGGUGAGUAAUAUAUCGGAACGUGCCCAGUCGUGGGGGAUAACGUAGUGAAAAUUACGCUAAUACCGCAUACGAUCUAAGGAUGAAAGCGGGGGAUCGCAAGACCUCGCGCGAUUGGAGCGGCCGAUAUCAGAUUAGGUAGUUGGUAGGGUAAAGGCCUACCAAGCCAACGAUCUGUAGCUGGUCUGAGAGGAGGACCAGCCACACUGGAACUGAGACACGGGCCAGACUCCUACGGGAGGCAGCAGUGGGGAAUUUUGGACAGUGGGCGAAAGCCUGAUCCAGCCAUUCCGCGUGCAGGAUGAAGGCCCUCGGGUUGUAAACUGCUUUUGUACAGAACGAAAAGGUCUCUAUUAAUACUAGGGGCUCAUGACGGUACUGUAAGAAUAAGCACCGGCUAACUACGUGCCAGCCGCCGCGGUAA
rnacentral:rRNA from 1 species